CCCAGUUUGGUCAUUUCCGGUUUUGGUUUGGGGGGAUCGGACUGGGAGGGACUGGGAGGAACUGCUUUGGACUGGUUUGGACUGGUUUGGACUGGUUUGGACUGGUUUGGACUGGUUUGUACUGGUCUAUACUGGUUUAUACUGGUUUAUACUGGUUUGUACUGGUCUAUACUGGUCCCAUUCUGGUUUUUACUGGUUUUUACUGGUCCAUAUUGGUCCAUACUGGUUUAUACUGGUUUAUACUGGUCUAUACUGGUUUAAACUGGUUUAAACUGGUUUAUACUGGUCCCACACUGGUCCCAUUCUGGUCCGUACUGGUCCAUACUGGUUUAUACUGGUUUAUACUGGUUUGUACUGGUUUAAACCAGUCCCAUACUGGUCCCAUACUGGUCCCAAACUGGUCCAUACUGGUUUGUACUGGUCCCAAACUGGUUUUUACUGGUCCCACACUGGUCUAUACUGGUUUUUACUGGUCCCAAACUGGUCUGUACUGGUCUAUACUGGUCUAUACUGGUUUUUACUGGUUUGUACUGGUCCCACACUGGUCCAUACUGGUCUAUACUGGUUUUUACUGGNNNNNNNNNNGGUCUGUACUGGUCCAUACUGGUCCAUACUGGUUUUUCCUGGUCCCACACUGGUCCAUACUGGUCUAUACUGGUUUUUACUGGUCCAUACUGGUUUAUACUGGUCCCACACUGGUUCAUACUGGUCCAUACUGGUCUAUGCUGGUUUUUACUGGUCCAUACUGGUCCAUACUGGUCCCAAACUGGUCCCACACUGGUCUGUACUGGUCCAUACUGGUCCAUACUGGUCCAUACUGGUUUCUCCUGGUCCGUGCUGGUUUAUACUGGUCCAUACUGGUUUAUACUGGUCUGUACUGGUCUAUACUGGUCCUUACUGGUUGAACCGCCCCGGUGCCGCCGCAGUGCAGCAGGAGCAGACCCGGCUCCAUUUCGGGAUCCGGCAGCACCAGCGGGAGCACGAGGAGCUCAACGGUAACGGACGGAAUGCCCAAAUCCCGGAAUUCCCGAAUUCCCAAAAUCCCGAAUUCCUGAAAUCCUUAAUUCCCAAAAUCCUGAAUUCCCAAUUCCUGAAUUCCCAAUUCCUGAAUUCCCGAAUUCCCGAAUUCCCAAAUUCCCCAAUUCCCGAAUUCCCAAAAUCCUGAAUUCCUGAAUUCCCAAAUUCCCAAUGCCCAACUCCUGAAUUCCUGAAUUCCCAAUUCCCAAUUCCCAAUUCCUGAAUUCCUGAAUUCCUGAAUUCCCAAAUUCCCAAUUCCCAAUUCCUGAAUUCCUGAAUUCCCAAAAUCCUGAAUUCCUG
rnacentral:lncRNA from 1 species